GAUGAAGAACGUAGCGAAAUGCGAUAAGUAAUGUGAAUUGCAGAAUUCAGUGAAUCAUCGAAUCUUUGAACGCACAUUGCGCCCCCUGGUAUUCCGGGGGGCAUGCCUGUUCGAGCGUCAUUUCACCACUCAAGCCUCGCUUGGUAUUGGGCAACGCGGUCCGCCGCGUGCCUCAAAUCGACCGGCUGGGUCUUCUGUCCCCUAAGCGUUGUGGAAACUAUUCGCUAAAGGGUGCUCGGGAGGCUACGCCGUAAAACAAACCCAUUUCUAAGGUUGACCUCGGAUCAGGUAGGGAUACCCGCUGAACUUAAGCAUAUCAUAAGCGGAGGA
rnacentral:misc_RNA from 1 species